UUUCUAGAAGCCAGGCCCAUAGCCACUCCCUGGAGCCUCUGUCAGUGUCCUCCUUGCCACUGUGUGGGGACUGCACAGUGUGGGGAGCGCCAGCCAGAAAGACAUUCCCUGUAUCUCUCCUCAGUAUGCCUCCUCAGGAGAGACAAAGAGCAAGGUCCCGCUGGCCGGCCUUCUACUCAUUGAUGAGCUGGAUCCAGAAGUCCUGCUGUGACCUGACUGGCUUUAGGAAGAGAAGACUUACAAACAAAACAAAACCCCAGGAGACUUAUGGUCACCUGCCCCAGUUGUCCUGGAAAGUCAGAUAGCCCUGGACACAUCAAGAUGGUUCUCCAUCUAAAAGGCCUUCCAUCAAUUGCCAGGUAGUCUGGGCUACAUGACAAAAUCCUGUCUCAAGACAAACAGGCCUCAUUUCUAGUCAUCAUAAUUAUGAUUUAUUUAGAUCUGCUCCCUCCUCCCUCUGAUUUCCCAGGAGCCUUUGGGUAUCCUCAGUCCCUGAGAGAAUAACAGGGGCUCUUGGCACUGUUCCAGGGAGGCAGGAACAGAUAAACGAGAAAAGGGAGGAAUCAGGCUGAAGGCUCCUGCUGCCAUCUUGGAAUAAGAGAUCCAGAAUCCAGCCUGGAGGUCAUGUGAUGCUCUCGACAUUUCCAAAGUGCCUCUGACUUUGCAGGUUUUGUUGCUUCUCACCACAACCAAGAGAUGCGCAAGGAAAGAAAGACCAUGCUCUGUAGUUUGCAAGCCCCCAGUGUGCCAGGAGAGACCUGCUCAAGGUUCGAGGGGAGCAGAGUGGCUGGAAAGCCCUGCCUCCCUGGGCUAAGCCUGGGUCAUUCCACUUCCUCCACCAGCUUCCCGUGCCCCUGGAAACACCUGGCACGAAAAGCGGGAAAUAAGAGAACUCCGUGGC
rnacentral:lncRNA from 1 species